rnacentral:rRNA from 1 species
GACGAACGCUGGCGGCGUGCUUAACACAUGCAAGUCGAACGGAAAGGCCCUGCUUGCAGGGUACUCGAGUGGCGAACGGGUGAGUAACACGUGGGUGAUCUGCCCUGCACUUCGGGAUAAGCCUGGGAAACUGGGUCUAAUACCGGAUAGGAGCCAUUUUUAGUGUGAUGGUUGGAAAGUUUUUUCGGUGUAGGAUGAGCUCGCGGCCUAUCAGCUUGUUGGUGGGGUAAUGGCCUACCAAGGCGGCGACGGGUAGCCGGCCUGAGAGGGUGGACGGCCACAUGGGGACUGAGAUACGGCCCAGACUCCUACGGGAGGCAGCAGUGGGGAAUAUUGCACAAUGGGCGAAAGCCUGAUGCAGCGACGCCGCGUGGGGGAUGACGGCCUUCGGGUUGUAAACUCCUUUCGCUAGGGACGAAGCUUUUUGUGACGGUACGUAGAUAAGAAGCACCGGCUAACUACG